rnacentral:snoRNA from 1 species
GAGAUCAUACUUCACAGAAUCAUUUCUGUAGUAUGCAUUUCACCGUCUCUCUGCCAAAGAGCGACGAUACGCAGCCGCGAUGAUCGAAUCGUAGCGUUGUCCUCAGAGCGUGAAGAAGCUCUCGAUUGCAUUGAUUGCGAUCGUUAGCUUGAUGACCGCCGGAUCCUCUUCGUGGGGAACCGAUGAGGAUAACGCUUGCUGAGCGGU